rnacentral:rRNA from 1 species
CAUGUAGGCGGAUUGAUAAGUUUGAAGUGAAAUCCUAUAGCUUAACUAUAGAACUGCUUUGAAAACUGUUAAUCUAGAAUGUGGGAGAGGUAGAUGGAAUUUCUGGUGUAGGGUAAAAUCCGUAGAGAUCAGAAGGAAUACCGAUUGCGAAGGCGAUCUACUGGGACAUUAUUGACGCUGAGAUGCGAAAGCGUGGGGAGCAAACA